rnacentral:rRNA from 1 species
AGUAACACAUGGGUACCUACCCCACAGUGAGGAAUACCGGCGAGAAAUCGCCGACAAGACCGCAUAGGCUUCUUUUCGGAGACGACGGGAAGCAAAGUCGCGCAAGCGACGCUGUGGGAUGGGCCUGUGGCCGAUUAGCUGGUUGGGGGGGUAAUGGCUUCCCAAGGCGACGAUCGGUAGCUGGUCUGAGAGGACGAUCAGCCACACUGGGAUUGAGAACGGCCCAG